CGGACGGGUGAGUAAUGUAUGGGGAUCUGCCUGAUGGCGGGGGAUAACUACUGGAAACGGUAGCUAAUACCGCAUAAUGUCUACGGACCAAAGCGGGGGACCUCCGGGCCUCGCGCCAUCAGAUGAACCCAUAUGGGAUUAGCUAGUAGGUGGGGUAACGGCUCACCUAGGCGACGACCCCUAGCUGGUCUGAGAGGAUGAUCAGCCACACUGGGACUGAGACACGGCCCAG
rnacentral:rRNA from 1 species